CGGCCAUUGAUACUGUCUGGCUUGAAUUACAAGGAAGUAACUAGAAUAUGUAGUGUAGCGGUGAAAUGCUUAGAGAUUACAUGGAAUACCAAUUGCGAAGGCAGGUUACUACUUGUGGAUUGACGCUGAUGGACGAAGGCGUGGGUAGCGAACAGGAUUAGAUACCCUGGUAGUCCACGCCGUAAACGAUGGAUACUAGCUGUUGGGAGCGAUCUCAGUGGCUAAGCGAAAGUGAUAAGUAUCCCACCUGGGGAGUACGGGCGCAAGCCUGAAACUCAAAGGAAUUGACGGGGGCCCGCACAAGCGGUGGAGCAUGUGGUUUAAUUCGAUGAUACGCGAGGAACCUUACCAAGGCUUAAAUGUAGUUUGACCGAUUUGGAAACAGAUCUUUCGCAAGACAAAUUACAAGGUGCUGCAUGGUUGUCGUCAGCUCGUGCCGUGAGGUGUCAGGUUAAGUCCUAUAACGAGCGCAACCCCUGUUGUUAGUUGCCAGCGAGUCAAGUCGGGAACUCUAACAAGACUGCCAGUGCAAACUGUGAGGAAGGUGGGGAUGACGUCAAAUCAUCACGGC
rnacentral:rRNA from 1 species